GGGCCACUAGUAUAGUGGUAGUACACUGCAUUCGCAUUGCAGGGGCAGGGAUUCGAUUUCCCUGUGGUCCA
rnacentral:tRNA from 1 species